rnacentral:lncRNA from 1 species
AGAGAAACAUCCUGCCAAGGUUCUCUGUCUCACAGAGAAUCACCAACACACAACUGUGUAACGUGCAACUGCUUCAUAUUCAGUCAGACCAGAGGCUCGAGCCUCCGCUGCCAGCAGCUGCUCGCUGUCACUGAUCCACAGCUCACUGCUCGUCAGCUCUCUGUGCACAACAGCUCUCAUACUGUAGGACGAGCAUCCUCUGUCUGUCCCCUGUCCUCUGUCCUCUGUCGGUCCUGUCCCCUGUCUGUCCUCUAUCCCCUGUCUGUCCCCUGUCUGUCCUCUGUCUAUCCUCUGUCUGUCCUGUCCUCUGUCUGUCCUGUCCUCUGUCCGUCCUCUGUCCGUCCUCUGUCCUCUGUCCGUCCUCUGUCUGUCCCCUGUCCUCUGUCCUCCGUCUGUCCUGUCCCCUGUCUGUCCUCUGUCUGUCCUGUCCUCUCUCCGUCCUCUGUCCGUCCUCUGUCCGUCGUCCGUCCUCUGUCCGUCCUCUCUCCGUCCUCUGUCCGUCCUCUGUCCUCUGUCCGUCCUCUGUCCUCUGUCCGUCCUCUGUCCGUCCUCUGUCCUCUGUCUGUCCUCUGUCCUCUGUCCGUCCUCUGUCCUCAGUCCUCUGUCCUCUGUCUGUCCUCUGUACCCUGUCUGUCCUCAGUCCUCUGUCCUCUGUCUGUCCUCUGUCCUCUGUCUGUCCUCUGUCCUCUGUCUGUCCUCUGUCUGUCCUCUGUCCUCUGUCCCCUGUCCUCAGUCCUCUGUCCUCUGUCUGUCCUCUGUCUGUCCUCUGUCCUCUGUCCUCAGUCCUCUGUCUGUCCUGUCCUCUGUCUGUCCUCUGUCCUCUGUCCUCAGUCCUCUGUCUGUCCUCUGUCCUCUGUCCCCUGUCCUCAGUCCUCUGUCCUCUGUCUGUCCUCUGUCUGUCCUCUGUCCUCUGUCCUCAGUCCUCUGUCCUCUGUCUGUCCUCUGUCUGUCCUCUGUCCUCUGUCCUCAGUCCUCAGUCCUCUGUCUGUAAAUACUGAGUACUAA